AGCGAACGCUGGCGGCAGGCCUAACACAUGCAAGUCGAACGGACCUUUCGGGGUUAGUGGCGGACGGGUGAGUAACACGUGGGAACGUGCCUUUAGGUUCGGAAUAGCUCCUGGAAACGGGUGGUAAUGCCGAAUGUGCCCUUCGGGGGAAAGAUUUAUCGCCUUUAGAGCGGCCCGCGUCUGAUUAGCUAGUUGGUUGAGGUAACGGCUCACCAAGGCGACGAUCAGUAGCUGGUCUGAGAGGAUGGCCAGCCACAUUGGGACUGAGACACGGCCCAAACUCCUACGGGAGGCAGCAGUGGGGAAUCUUGCGCAAUGGGCGAAAGCAUGACGCAGCCAUGCCGCGUGAAUGAUGAAGGUCUUAGGAUUGUAAAAUUCUUUCACCGGGGACGAUAAUGACGGUACCCGGAGAAGAAGCCCCGGCUAACUUCGU
rnacentral:rRNA from 1 species